GCCCAUGUAGCUCAAUUGGUAGAGCAAUCGCUUCGUAAGCGAUAGGUUACUGGUUCGAUCCCAGUCAUGGGCU
rnacentral:tRNA from 5 species